GACGAACCGUGCGAACGUUAUUCGGAAUCACUGGGCUUAAAGCGCGUGUAGGCGGGUCGGCGCGUCGGACGCUGAAAUCCCCCGGCUCAACCGGGGAAGGGGCGCCGAGACGGCCGGCCUGGAGGGACGUAGGGGGGGCUGGAACUUCCGGUGGAGCGGUGAAAUGCGUUGAGAUCGGAAGGAACGCCCGUGGCGAAAGCGAGCCCCUGGACGUCUACUGACGCUGAGACGCGAAAGCCAGGGGAGCGAACGGG
rnacentral:rRNA from 1 species